rnacentral:tRNA from 1 species
GCCCCUUUGGCUCAGUGGAUAGAGUGUCAGCCCUCAAGACUGAAGGGUCCUGGGUUCGAUUCCAGUCAAGGGCA